rnacentral:rRNA from 1 species
GCUUAAUAAUAUUAUUAAGAUGAAAUUUAGGAGAGGUUUUAUUUUUAAUAUAAUUAUUUUGUUGGGGUGACAGGAAAAUAAAUAAACUUUUCUAUAAAUAUAACAUUAAUGAGUGAAUUGAUGAUCCGUUAUUAAUGAUUAUAAGAUUAAGU